rnacentral:rRNA from 1 species
CACGUAGGCGGCUUUGUAAGUUUCUGGUGAAAUACUUCUGCUCAACGGAAGAACUGCCAGAAAAACUACAAGGAUUGAGUUCAGGAGAGGGAAGUGGAAUUCCUGGUGUAGCGGUGAAAUGCGUAGAUAUCAGGAAGAACACCGGUGGCGAAGGCGGCUUCCUAGCCUAGAACUGACGCUCAUGUGCGAAAGCGUGGGGAGCAAACAGGAUUAGAUACCCUGGUAGUCC